UGGGGGAUAUUGCACAAUGGGCGAAAGCCUGAUGCAGCGACGCCGCGUGGGGGAUGAAGGCCUUCGGGUUGUAAACUUCUUUUGCUCUGAACAAGGCAUGCUAAUGGGUGUGUUGAGUGUAGGGGUUGAUUAGCGCCGGCUAACUACGUGCCAGCAGCCGCGGUAAUACGUAGGGCGCGAGCGUUGUCCGGAAUUAUUGGGCGUAAAGGGCUUGUAGGUGGCUGGUUGCGUCUGUCGUGAAAGCUCAUGGCUUAACUGUGGGUUUGCGGUGGGUACGGGCUGGCUUGAGUGCAGUAGGGGAGGCUGGAAUUCCUGGUGUAGCGGUGAAAUGCGCAGAUAUCAGGAGGAAUACCGGUGGCGAAGACGGGUCUCUGGGCUGUUACUGACACUGAGGAGCGAAAGCAUGGGGAGCGAACAGG
rnacentral:rRNA from 1 species